rnacentral:rRNA from 1 species
UACGUAGGGCGCAAGCGUUGUCCGGAAUUAUUGGGCGUAAAGAGCUCGUAGGCGGUUUGUCGCGUCUGCUGUGAAAACCUGAGGCUCAACCUCGGGCUUGCAGUGGGUACGGGCAGACUAGAGUGCGGUAGGGGUGACUGGAAUUCCUGGUGUAGCGGUGGAAUGCGCAGAUAUCAGGAGGAACACCGAUGGCCAAGGCAGGUCACUGGGCCGCAACUGACGCUGAGGAGCGAAAGCAUGGGGAGCGAACAGG